rnacentral:rRNA from 1 species
UACGUAGGGUGCGAGCGUUAAUCGGAAUUACUGGGCGUAAAGCGUGCGCAGGCGGUUUGUAAGCCAGAUGUGAAAUCCCCGGGCUUAACCUGGGAAUGGCAUUUGGGACUGCAAGGCUUGAGUGCGGCAGAGGAGACUAGAAUUCCUGGUGUAGCAGUGAAAUGCGUAGAUAUCAGGAGGAAUACCGAUGGCGAAGGCAGGUCUCUGGGCUGACACUGACGCUCAUGCACGAAAGCGUGGGGAG